CUUUGCUUUUUUAUUAUUAUUAUGAUUUAUAAAACGCUGACAAUUUCUGCAGUGCUGUACAAUAGAUGGAUUAACAAACAAGUAGAUGCAACAAGACAAUACAGAACAUAAGGUGCUGAGGGCCCUGCUCAAACGAGCUUACAUUCUAAAGGGAUUGGGGUAAAAUGACACAAGAGGUAAGGGAAGAGGACACUUCAAUCAUACUCCAGGCACCAACACGACUUAAUAGAUGCAUUAAUAGAUUUUGGCCUCUUAUCCAUACUGUUUUCUUCAUAAUCAAAACUAUAGCUGCAUCCCUGAUCCAAAACCUCAGCCUGAAAGGAGAGUGGCUGUAACAAUCAAAGAACAAUUUAAGUCAAGGAACCCAUCUCUGAACAUGCUACUAACUGUGAUACCUAGCAAUAUGGCCCUUUUUUGAUGUGAACAUGAUGACUUAAGGAUUUGCUUAGUUUUCAACUGCAGUUUGACCGAAUCUGUGCCAAUAGGGUGACUGGUUGAAUUCCCAAACUCCGAGAAGAAACACAGUCAAAUUAGUUCAUUUUGAUACAUGAUUCUGAAUUCCGCCCAUUGCGUUAAAAAAAUAAAAUAAAAAAAAAAGGUGAUUGAUGGGGAAAAAAAGAAAAUUGAUGGCUAGAGGACAAUCAUUAAAUAUUGAUUUUAUAUUGAGAAUAUUGAGAAGUAAUCAACUGAGGGAAAAGAGUGGAACAGUAAAAAAAACUAAAUUACCAAAAAUUUUAUAUAUUGACUACUGCUUAUGUUUUUCCCCUCUGUUGGUUACUUUUUCCCACUUGGUCUGUGAACCAAAUGGCAGGAAAUCCUCCUAUCAGUGUACUGCAAAAUAUAUACACAAUAUUUAUAUUAAUUUGCAGUACACUGAUCGGCCAAUUUUUUCGCCAUGUUGGUUCAUCAGACUAGUUUCCCAAAUCUAUUUUUCAGUACCGAGAUUCUGCCAAGCAGAAUCGAGAUAUGGCUGAAAUUCAGGCUGAAAUUCAGCCACUCCAGAUUUUUUUUUUUCUGAAAAAUGGUUCAGCCAAACCGACUUUUCUCUCCAUGCACAAGUCUAUACUACGUAAUCAAUUCAUGCAACUGUCAAACUACGUUUUUUUUGUUCUGAAACUGUAAGUCAUCAACAACUGUGUUAUAUUUUAUUACAAUUAUAUAAUUAGUUUAAAUUAAAAAAAGACCAGUGAUACUUUUAAGAUAUUUAAAAAAAUAUUAUAUACAUUUAGUACUCUAUUUCACAAAGUUUGAAAAUCAAAAUAUUGCUGUUUCCAAGUACAACUGGACAAAAACUGUACAACAACUGUGCAAAUGUUCAUUGCUUUUCUUUAAAGUUGAAAUAGAUUUCCAGAGCAUAUUGAUUUAUAAUAGUCAGACUGCUUGGUAAAGGAACACUCCAAGCACCAUAGCCACUUUCCUAUGCUGCAGUUGUUUUGGUGCCAGGAGAGCCCUGGCACCCCACCCCAUGUGAGUAGUGAAACUGUUUAUCAUAGCUCUCAUAAUUGAGCUAAACCUGGAGGUGCAGGGCUUAGCUCAUUGGCUGAGACUGAUCAGCUGAUGCUUUCAGCCAAUGAGCUGAGCCCUGCACUGCAGAUCUUAGUUGAGAAGAGAUAAUGGAAUCCUACACAGGAGCUUUCAGUUUUUCUUCCAUCAAAAAGGAGGUGUUCAGUAGUGCUCAAACAGAUAUGGGUUUGGCCCCUUACAUUGGGACGCUCAAGGGCACUUGGAGUGCUCCUCUAAAGACAAGCAGCAUGACAAGCAAUUGUGAAUUACUAGGGAUUCCAAACACUGAACUGAACAUUGUAAAAUGUUGCCAAGGUGCUGGUUUGGAAAGAUUCUCAAAUUCAGUUAUAAUUAUUUUGUAAUUCGAUUUUCAGGUCAUUGCAAUCUGCUGCAAAUAAACCCAAAAUUUAAAAAUUUAAUGAUAAAAAUGCCAAAAUGAAAACAUAGUUGACAUUUGGCCUAAGUUUGGAAUUCACUCUGAAUUAUUGAUAAUUACACACAAACAUACUCAUACACGGUAAAAGAUAAAAUCACUCAGAGAUUGUCUAAAUAAUAAACACCACUGUCCUUUAAUGCAGUGGUUCCCAAACCGGUCCUCAAGUCAAUCCUACCAGUCCAGGAUUUAGACACAAUUGGAUAAUCCCUAAAUACUGGACUGGCAAGGGUGUCUUGAGGACUGGUUUAGUAACCACUGCUUUAAUUUGAAUCAAUUAAAAAAAUUACCAACAUCUUGUCCUCUGCAUGGGCUUUUUUCCAAGCUCAAACAAUAACUUGAGCAGUGCAAAUAUUCAUAGGGUACCAUGCAAAAGUAAAACUCACCAGUGAAGAUUCCAAACAUCUUCAACAACAAGUCCAGUGCAUGUCCAGUUAUGACAUGGACAAAUUGCCUGUAACUAUAGAAACCUCAUAAUGAAAAACCUAAUUGUUACGGUUCUAACUAGAAUCCUACAAUAUUGGAAUUGGUCACAAGUAACAUACACUAGAUCAGUGGUUCCCGACCCAGUCCUCAAGUACCCCCUAACAAUACAGGAUUUAGGGAUUACCCAGUUGUGUCUAAGGUGUUUUAAGAAAAAAACAAACCAAAAAAAAAAAAAGAAAAAACCCACAGUUUAGACACAGCAGAGUAUGCCUAAAUCCUGGACCGGUAGGAGGUACUUGAGUACUGGGUUGGAAAUGUCUGCACUAGAGUUAUAAUGUAAAACUUACUGUGUCUAGGCACUACAUGCAUCAUAUCAUCAUAUUAGGAGGGAUAUUUAUCAAGAAAAAGAAGGUGCUAUUCUAAGAUAAAGGAAUCACCAUGCAAACCAAAUAGAAUGUCUCUCGACAUUUAGAUCUAUGUCUUUAGAACUAUUGGCUAUGUUCCAAUAUUGGUUUUGGUUACAUUCCAAUCAAUACGUUUUUUCAGCAGUUUAUUGGCUUCUGAUAAGACUUCUAUAGGUUCGGAUAGAUAUAAUUCACAUCUUUAAAAGCUCAUUGGAAUCUGAAGCCUAUAUUAUAUAUUGAAAAUAUAGACUUUGUGGAUUUAAUGCUAUUGCUGUCUGGUCACUAAUAACAUACAGGGGAAUGCCAUGUCUCCCUUUCUGUCACAGCACUGUUAUUGGCCUACCACUCGGCGCAUAAUAACGGAGAUUGCAUAUGGGAAAGCCUUUAUAAGGACUUUUCUCUCCAUGCAAGCUCAGUCUGUCUGGAGCUCACACUGGGCUACUUGAAAUUUAAACUUUAUGAGUAGUAUUUUGUUUUUGUGACCCCGUCCUUUUUGAAUUUUAGCAGUUGCAACAGGACUUAACGUUUUUUUAAGAGUGUUUUUUUUUUACAGGAAUUUAGUUUAUUGCCCCCCCUUACUAUUAGUAUGGUAAGGGGCUAGGUAGUAUAUUUUUAUUUGAGGGGGCGGCUAGGGGGUUGUGGACCCCUGGCUACAUGUGGGGGCCAUGGACACAAUUUUGGAGCAUUAGACACUAACAUGUCCACACUCUUAUAUAUUUAAUUAUAGCAACCACAAGCCGCUGACGGCUGGGGGGGACAUCAAAUUUCCCUUGUUUAUUAAUUAAUUGGGGCUUGUGGGGGCACUAAGAUGAAAACUCCAAUGUACUUUUUAAUGUAAUAGCCUCCACUGAAUAGCCAGGGGUGGGGUCACUGAAUAUCGACAUCAAUCAGUCCACUACCCAUUCUUUAAUUUAAAACUCCCAUCCAAUGCCCAGAGGGGAGGACUGGUACCAGGUACCCCCUAUAUGUUACUUGUGACUGGAAUGCAAAAGCUCACAAAAACAGUCACUAGUAGUCUUAUUAAUGGACACGUUGCACUAGCAGCAUGACUGGCAGUGCCAUGGGGAGGUGUAAAACAUCCAUUCUACUAAUGUGGGUGUCUUGACCGCCAGACUCUUUUAAAUUAUUUCUUUUCUAAUGACCAACAGGGUUAGCAUAUUUUUUUUUUCCAACAGCAAACCCAUUUAUCGAGUUUGGCUGCUAGAAUUUGGUUUGGCCUUAAAUCCAGUUGAAAUUCAAUAAAAAUAUUGACUGAUUCCAG